AUGAAUUCUCGCCGAUCCAGGUCUGUGAAGCUACUGUCGUCGCGCGCCAAGCCCCUGGAGGUUGACGUUGCAGAGGAGGACCCGCGGAUGAGCUCGUCGGCCGACAACACGGUGUACUGCUGCAUUGCCAAGGGGAACAAGGUCAUAUACAGCUACAGCAGCAAGGAUGGUGACUCGCAGACCGAGGCCACGGCGGCGCUCUGCCUCGAGAACGUGCCUCCCUACCACCGGCAUUACAUCCACACUUCGGGGUCGAGGAGCUACGGCUAUCUGAUGGCAGACGGGCACACCUUUUUCGCAAUCAUCGACCCGAGCGUCGGGAAUGUGGGUGCCUUGCAGUUCCUGGAGCGUGUGCGGGAUGAGUUCAGGAACACGAAUAGGAAUGGGUUCCAUGACGCGCUGGUUCCGGCUGUCCAGAGGCUGGUUGCUUCACUGGAGAAGAUGCCCCGUGCCGCACUUGUUCCUGAGGGUGGUGCGCAAAGGGGAGGGUCGAAUGGCAGCUCGGGCUGCACAUCGUCGAAGGCGCCUCUUCUUGGAAAAGGCAGUGGCAGGAAGGAUAAGAAGAAGGCAAAGGAGAAGGGGAUGCCUAUGGGGGAUGGCGACGAUGAGCACCAUGGCACAAGAGGUUUGAGAAUUGAUGUGCAGCCAGAGGAUGUUGGGGGCAUGUCAUUGGAGCGCAGCACAAGCCAAUCCAGGCUACGGAGGCAGCAGUCGUCGCGGUCACUGUGGAUGCGCCAUGUGAAGAUCAUCAUCAUUGUUGAUGUUCUCGUUUGUGUGGUAUUGUUUGCUGCUUGGCUUGCCGUCUGCAAGGGUUUCCAGUGUGUGUCCGGGUGA
rnacentral:rRNA from 1 species